GGCAUUAGCCAUAUCACCCUGCAACUCACAACUGGUAACCCCCUGAAGCUCAGCAGGUGUGAGCCUGGUCAGUACCUGGAUAGGAGACCUCCUGGGAAAAACUAAGGUUGCUGCUGGAA
ensembl:rRNA 5S_rRNA 5S ribosomal RNA